rnacentral:lncRNA from 1 species
GCACACAUUCCCCACCCCACAUCAAACUAUCAAAACUGACCAUCAAGUGCUGCCCAGAGUGUCAGGUAUCAAUGUGCCAAGGUCCAGCUCCUCUAGCAUUUCCCAGUGGCUCAACUGCAGGGAUUCCUUGGAUGCAACUCAGUUUUACGUUAGAUCUCUUUCACUGUCUCAGUCAUAAUUUUCCAAAGGCAGUUUCAUAACUAAUUUACAAAGCUCCCCCGGCCUGUCCCGGUCUUCAUAAGGAUGUAACCAAAUCCAGGUUGAAAACCAAACGUUGAGAGACA